CAGGAAGACUGCUGUUCCUCUGAGUG
rnacentral:piRNA from 1 species